rnacentral:lncRNA from 1 species
CCCAACCUGGCUUAGUUUCCCAGAUGCCAGGAAGAUGAGACAAUGAGAGAUUGUUCUAAACCCUUGGAUACUCGUGAGUUUGUUCAUCUCCUGGCUAUCUCUAUCUCAGGUCACACACAUCACAUCUUGUCUAUGGAAUGCCAGCUGUAGGUUUUUAGGCUCCUCUCAGUUUACACAGACAUUUUAUAAAAACAGAAAUGUCUUACUAUUAGUAUAUAAGUGUUAACUAUUAAUGUCAAACAAAUCAGGUAAAUAUGUAAUUUUUCUGUCACACCUCAGAAACAAUACAAUAGCGCAACUCAAAGGACAGCUCAAAGGACAAAAACAAAUGUUGGACAGAUCUAGCACUGUUGCAGAGAAAACGACAGAGGCAACAUAUGAGAUUGCUUGGAUACUCGUGAGAAAGAAGAAGGCAGAUGCGGAGAUGAUCAAAUAAUGUUUUUUGGCCUCAGCCGAAAUAUUGCUUGCCGAUUUCACAAACAAGGAAGCUAUUUUGAAGCAAGUUAAGGGACUGCAACUCUCCGACUCGACCAUAACAAGACGUAUAGAAGACAUUGGUGAGGACAUCGGUAAGCAACUGAUUACUGACAUAUCCGUGGCGCCGUGUUUUAGUAUUGCGCUUUAUGAAAGCACUGAUGUAAGUGACAAUUAUGUGUUUGGAUCCGCUUCCCUCAAAAUGAGUCGUUCAGAGAGGAACUUUUAUGUUUACUGCCCCGUCAGGGACAAACACGAGAAGAGGAUAUUCUGAAAGCCCUCAAAUCUGGCAUCUGUGUGCACUGACGGCGCCCCAAACAUGCGAGGGAAGAAGAAGGGACUCAUAGGCCUGACGAGAAAGAGAAAGGAUAUUCCCGAAUUUGUUACGUUUCAUUGUAUCAUUCAUCAGGAAGCACUUGUGGCUAAGCUCAAAGACUGUGACUUACAGAAUGUGAUGCAGCAAGUCGUGUGUGUGGUGAACAUAAUUAUUGUGAGGGCACUGAAUCACCGGCAAUUCCGUGAGUUGCUGGAGGAAUACCAGACAGAAUACGGCAACUUGAUAUUCCACAAUGAGGUGAGAUGGCUGUCUCGUGGCAGAGUUUUGGAAAGAUUUCUCUCUCUUCCCUCAAAUCCGUGAAUUUGUUCCAAGCAAGGGGAGAGAGAAGCCAGAGCUGGAUGAUCCAAAGUGGAUAUUGUUGGGUUUUAUUUCACUUAUUAGAUGUGAUGCAUUACCUUUUACAGUAGAUGUAGGCCUAAGUAUGAACGGACUGUAAUGCACUAAGAGGUUUAUAUUGUAUUAACAUAGAUUGAGCAACAUAUAAUAGACAUGACUAACUGGAGGGUUGCUGGCUAGUAGGAGUGUAGGCUGAGUAGACUCUUGACACACACACACAAUGCCUGGUUGUGGGGCCGCUCAAGGACAGGUGUACGGGAGGGGCUGGUAGAAUGGAAGAUGGCUGUAGCGCAAAAGCAGAAACUGUCCUAACUGUAGCAUAAAAACAGGCACUGUCCUUGGGUGUCUGACUCUCGGGUACAUACAUGAAGAUAAGCUAGAAGACAACUAUGCUUGGCAACAAAGAUGCGUCUAGAGGCUGGGACCAGCCUGCACGCCAACGAUAGGAUGAGUAAGUUUAAACCACGCUCAUCCUCCCUCUGACAGGCCAGGUGUGAGCGGGAACUAUCUCUGUCAGAGUAUUUAAUGAAGAACUUAUGAUGUCAUUUUCAGUUCUCUGUUUGCCCUGCGAGGUGUUACAGUGAACCCGUAUAUACGAAGAUUGCAUUUACCAUUUAUUCUGCUUGACUAAUUCUAUUAAUAAACAGCUGAAAAUAUAUUCAGUAGCCUAGUGUUAAAUUUUGUUCUGAUACCAGAAUUGAAUUGACGCAGCCCUAACAAUUGGUGACCCCAAAUGUGAUUCUGGUAGAAGGACUUCGCUGGAACUUGUCCGGCCGAUUGGCCAUCGCUCUCGUCGGACGAUGUGUUUCACAAAUCCUGACCGGUCAAACAAAAGGUAAGCAGACACCUAUUGUGAAUAACUAAAGUUCUGCAUAUUGGCAUUAUCCAAAUUUAUUUUGUGAAGCACCUGUUUGAUGUAAGUGAUUAAAUUGUGGAACGUCCACCUGUUAUAUUAAUAAUUUGAUUUUGAAACAAUUUUGAGAGUUGUGGUGUGAUAAAUGCAAUCUUGAAACCGAUCGAUCAUUGAUGAUAUAACAAGUGAAUGUAAUGUACUAGGUAUUGAAGUACCAAGUGUGUAUGUGGUUAGUCGGCGUACUUAACCGGAAUGAGUGUGGGUGGAUGUAGGUAUAACAGCGAUUGUAAUGUACUAGGUAUUGUCGUGUCUUUGGCUAUGCCGGAUUAAGUGAUAUGACAUGCUAACUUAUAAAAUGAUUUCUCUGUAAUUAAUAUUACCUGAUUAAGCUAAUCAUGUAAAUGUAAUUAACUAGAAAGUCGGGGCACCACGGAAGAACGUUUAUAGAGCCGUUAUCUUCCGAAUAAACUCUUAAAAUACUUUGUAAUAUUUUACAUCGAUAGCAGUCAAUAUUAACCCUUGUCUUAUUUUCAGUCUCAUAAUGAAAGUUGUAAAUUCUUGGCUAUUUUCACGAACCCUGGCUAACAAGUUGAAUCAGCAAUACAAAAUUGGGUUUAAUUAUUUAUUUACUAAAUACCUAACUAAUCACACAGAAUUACAAAUACACAGAAUACAAUGAUGUCAUACAGAAUUCACCCCUGGUGAACGGAACCUGUAUGAAAGCUGGUUACACAAAGGAAAGGGGGUUGGGCUUGAGUGAAAGAGCGGGAAGAUUUAGGAACACAGAAACAGCAGCUAUGCUAUCGUAAAUACAUUAUCUUAUGCAUUCUAAAUUACCGCCCAUUUGGAAAAAGAAAAUGCAAUAAAUAUUUACUCUGAGCUGCGCUUCGGUAGAUUGGUCGUAUAUGCUGGCCGGGUUGGCCAACAGAUCUUCCUGUUACUCGGAAGAAUGUCUCUGGUGGUAAAUUGGAUACGUGGUGGUACCUUCGUCCGUCUGUUAGACUGGAUCCGUCGUCCGUCCUUUCCUAGCCCCCGUCUACAGCGGCCGCUGCUACUCAACGGCUAGGAAGUAUCACUUCUGUAGUGAAUAAGCUCAAAGUUCAUACCAUUCGCCACCAAAGCUCACGCCGAGGUUGGCUUAGUUCUGUUCUUGACAUGUGUGUCCUUCUAACGUAGAGGCUGCAGACCUCACGUGCUGGAACAACGUGGUUAUCUUUUCGUCAAAGGCUUAUAUAGUGGAGAGGGGGGAAGGAUGUGUUUCAUCGUUUAUAACCCCUCCUCUUCACAGGGGUGGCCCACUGAUCAAGCAGGGCACUUUCCUUAUGAAAACCCAAUUCUCUCAUUUGGAAGCUAAAAUUACAUUUAAUCUCCUAACAAACAAUUCCAAUAUCAAACAUUUCAAUUGCAUAACAAUUCCAUGUGACUCUGAUAACUAGAGGGUGUAUACUUUCUCAGAUACAGUUUAUGUCGUCCUGUCAUCAUUCAUAAUGUCCCAGAUAACAACGAACUUUACAUACAUACUCAUUACGUUCCCAAGCAUAUUUCCAACUGGUUUUAUUACCAAAAUAUGGUUCCUUUUCCCCAUUUGUUUGAUGAUCCCAGACUCUCUAUAUUUAACACAGGCUAUUCAAGUCCUUCAGUAGGGUCAGAGAGAGGAAGGGAGAAAGGUAUUUAUGGGGGGGGGGUCAUAAACCUUACCCACAGGCCAACGUCAUGACAGUAUUGAAGUACCAAGUGUGUAUGUGGUUAGUCGGCUUACUUAACCGGAAUGAGUGUGGAUGGAUCUAGGUAUAACAGCGAUUGUAAUGUACUAGGUAUUGAAGUACCAAGUUUGAGUGUGGCUGUCAAGUCUGGGACUGGUAGCAAGACUGAAUGAAGAUUGGGAGGUCAACCUAAUCGUAUGACUGAAGUACAUUAGAUACUAGUCGGCGUACUGUAUCAAGUGUGAAUUAUCUACGGAUAAAGGCGUUAUACUGAGUAACCAUUGAAUGACUGAAGUACAUUGGGUAUUAAGUCGGCGUACUAAUACCAAGUUUGAGUGACCUGCGGGUAAAUAAGAGGUCGGGGACGGUCGACCUGAGUUAUAUCAUCUAGCGCUGGGGAAAUAAAUAACGUUAGGAACGUACGUUAGAGACGUAAAUUGACAUUGAUAGUUAGGUUACCAUAGACUGAAAUUGAAAGGGAUGUAAAUUAACAUUGAUAGUUAGGUUACCAUAGACUGAAAUUGAAUAUGACCAACCAGGAGACCGAGAGGGUGCUGAAAGCACUGAAGUUAACACUAGAGAUUAAUGGGGGUAGAGACGGGAAAGAGUGGAAAAGGAGGGGGGAAAUUAUACAAGGAAUGGAUAAGAGAAGGUAGUAUUAAUGCACCCAACAGACUCCCAGUCGACGGGGAGCCCGGUAGAAUAUUGGAAACGCUAAAAUGAAAAACAGACAAAACCUGUUCCGAGUGGAAGCAGGAGGGGGAAGCGCGUAAAGGAAUUGCAGGAAUUUACGGGAGUUGAGCGAUACAUGGAGUUAAUUUUAUUUUACUGGGACGAUGCACAUUAAACACAGUGAAUUACAGGAGAAGGUGAUUCACUCAAUCCAACCAAGAGACUGGGUGUGGAUCCAGUCCCUGAGGAGAAAAGACGGGAAGCAGCCCCGUGGGGAAGGCCCAUACCAGGUGCUGUUAAACCAUUGCCUUUGCCAUUAGAAAAGCUGAGAGUCACUUGGGUCCACGUUAUCCACUGCAAGAAGGUAUGUACACAUAUCCACUGCUGAUCACACACAGAGUUAGGAGAAGAACCGAGUACCAACAGGGUCCGGGGGUUACCUCCUUAACGAAGAUUUCCUAUCCCGACCGUUCAUCACUGUGUGUGCUCCUAGAGGUGUGAGUAUGGGGUGGUACCUAGCAGAGAGACUAAGGGCAGGAGAGGGUUGGCGGUUUUUGGGAAGAGUAGGGACUCUGAGCUGCAUCAUAGUCUAAUCUUUCUGAUACAUUCAGAUCCACCACCUUCUGGUACUAAUCAUACGAUACCGUUGUCAUUGAGAAGAAGUAGAAUAUAAAGUAUAUAAUACACUGAUGAGUGACUUACAGAAUAAGGAGUCAAAGAAGAUCAAGAUGUGGGAUUUAAGAUUCAUGAAUGAAACCGGGGAUGCAGUAAAGAGGUUCUCUGACCAAUUAUCCGCCACCUCCCUCAUGACCUGGUAAAAUAGACUGACUCUCGAUAUGUUACUGGCAAAGGAGGAUGGUGUAGGUAGAAUGAUUAGGUUCAUUGCUGUACGUACAUUCCUGAUAACACAGCCCAUGUUUGGGAAAUGGAAAAGUGUUGUAGGAACGGUAUUAUGGGCAGCUUUCACCUGUAUGAGUGUGUUUGGGUUGUUGUUUGGUCCCGUGUGCGAGAGGUCUCAUUUCCACGGUUCUGGAGAGAUCAAUAACGGAGCAGAUGGUGAGUUCAGACCAGUGGGACGACAACUACCUACCGCCGAGCCUGGUGGAGGAUUCAUUCAACUAUGAGGAGCCCAUGAUAAGAUGAGACCAUCUUUAGAGUUUCCUGAAUUAGUUUGAUUUUGUGUGAAAUUUCUGAAUCCAAAAAAAAUAGAUGUGUUAUAAUGUAUGUGAAAUAUUUAGCCAAUCGGGUGGAUAUAAUGAAAGGUUUGACUAAAAGAUUUCACUCAGAAACCUUAUAACCUGUUGAAAUGUAUUCGAAAUACAGCUAUAAUAAUGGGUUAAAAACUAUAUUCCAAUACUGUGUGAGUAAGACACUGUUACCAGAAUGAGCAGGGCAGAGUUGAUAAGACGACCUUGGGAAGGGAACAGGAGAAGAAGCCUCCCUAAGUUAGGGAGAGUAACAACGGCCUGGGAACGGCAGGUGGGCAGGAGAUUAGAAGACAGGUGGCAAGGUUGUUAAGGAAUGUAUGUGUACUGUGGGAAAAAUACAGCCGCCUAAAGCUGGGUUGAGUUCUUUACUGAUGUGUGUGUAACAGAGAUUUGUUAACUAUACUCGCACUGCACUGACAGGUAUGGCUGAGCAACUAGAGGCUACCACUAGAACCACUAGACAAAAUAGAUUGGAGUUGGAUAUGAUAUUGGCUAAUAAUGGGGGGUGUAUAAAACGUUUGGUGAACAAUGCUGUACUUUUAUCCCUAAUAACACUAGCCCUGAUGGUAAGCAUUACCAAAGCCCUACUGGAACUUGAAAAGCUAUCUGCUGAAAUGAAGGGUGUAGCAGGGGUAUACGAGGGGAAUUGGCUGAACAUCUUUUUUGGUAAGUACACAUCUAUGGUGGUUACUGGAUUUCUGACCCUAGUGCUUGUGUUCUUAUUAUUGUUGUGUUGUGUUGCCUGUAUAAUCCCUUGCUUGAGAAAAUAUCUUACAGAAGUUGUCAGAGCAACCGGAAUGAUGUCUUUGAUGGAAGUGACCCCAGUGGAUACUGAAUCAACCUCUAGGCAAAAGACGGGUCUGUCUGAGGACGAUCCUUGGUUUGCUGUUGGGGAAAUGGUUGAAUAAAGCUUAUCCAAAAUGUUCUCAUAUGUAUUGAAUGUAGUGGCAGGUGGAUGUGAAGGUUUUAAGUACUGGGACAAAAAGUCUGUCCCAUACAUGUUAGGUGUAGCCACUGUCGCAAAAAGGUCUUCUUUUUAUACGUUUUUUAAAUAAUAUGUUCUGAAUUUAUCUUGUGUACUAUUUGUCUUUCCUUAUGUGAAGGUUUGAAGUUCCUGGGUGGCUGGUAGUCAACCUAGUACAAGUGAGGUGUAGCCGGAAGGACUUGAGGGUUUUUUAACUAAUCAUCUAAUCAUUAAAAUGGGAAUUAAAAAUUGUGUUGAGUGACACCCUAGGGGGUGUCAAAAGGGGGAAUCUCAAAAUUUCCCUGACAUUUUAAGAACUUAUAUAUUCACACUUAUCAGGUGUGAAAAGGGGGAUUGUUGGGUUUUAUUUCACUUAUUAGAUGUGAUGCAUUACCUUUUACAGUAGAUGUAGGCCUAAGUAUGAACGGACUGUAAUGCACUAAGAGGUUUAUAUUGUAUUAACAUAGAUUGAGCAACAUAUAAUAGACAUGACUAACUGGAGGGUUGCUGGCUAGUAGGAGUGUAGGCUGAGUAGACUCUUGACACACACACACAAUGCCUGGUUGUGGGGCCGCUCAAGGACAGGUGUACGGGAGGGGCUGGUAGAAUGGAAGAUGGCUGUAGCACAAAAGCAGAAACUGUCCUAACUGUAGCAUAAAAACAGGCACUGUCCUUGGGUGUCUGACUCUCGGGUACACACAUGAAGAUAAGCUAGAAGACAACUAUGCUUGGCAACAAAGAUGCGUCUAGAGGCUGGUACCAGCCUGCACGCCAACGAUAGGAUGAGUAAGUUUAAACCACGCUCAUCCUCCCUCUGACAGGCCAGGUGUGAGCGGGAACUAUCUCUGUCAGAGUAUUUAAUGAAGAACUUAUGAUGUCAUUUUCAGUUCUCUGUUUGCCCUGCGAGGUGUUACAGUGAACCCGUAUAUACGAAGAUUGCAUUUACCAUUUAUUCUGCUUGACUAAUUCUAUUAAUAAACAGCUGAAAAUAUAUUCAGUAGCCUAGUGUUAAAUUUUGUUCUGAUACCAGAAUUGAAUUGACGCAGCCCUAACAAUAUUAAAGCUGGCUUUUUAAACUGACAUUACCUGCCACCUGAACACGGUGAAUAUCCAGCUCCAAGGGAAAGCUACAUCUCUGGGCAAAAUGCUGCGUGUGGUCACAACAUUUCAAAAUAAAACCAUCUCACUGUUCAUACCUGACAGACAGUUUGUUCAUUUCCCAAAACUCAGAGCAGUCCCCACAUCCAACCCAGACAUACUGCAACAUUUUAGCUAUGAUGCAUUUGUGCGUGUGUUGGAAGAGUUGGAGUUUGAGUCAAGAUUCAAGGAUAUCAUGGAGUACAAGGAGUUUUUGAGGACCCCUUUCAUGUGCCAGUGUCAUCUCUGACCCCAGUCAUCACAGCCCUCUGUCUUGACCGUGCUGGCAUAGAGAGUGAGAUAGUAGAGCUGCAGGCAAAUUACAUAUUGUAAGGUGAACUAAGAUCAGGUGUUACCCAUUUCUGGUGCCCUGUGUCAGACACAGAGUAUCCACUUCUGAAGCACUGCGUGCAAAAGGUGACAUUUUGUCAGCACUUACUCAUGUGAAGCAACAUGUUCAACAAUUUCAAACAAAAACAGUGAGACAGACUGACUAAUGCACACCUGGAUUGCCUCACAAGGAUACCAACAACAAACUAUACAUUUAGAAUGAAUUCAGUCAAGGAGCAGAAGGGACAUUUUCAAUCAUCCAACUACUGAGGUAACCCUUAAUAUGGGUCUAAUACAUGUGAUGUAGCCUAUUUGAUGUGUGUAUGUAUAUAUUUGUGAUGUGCUGUACCUCAAAUAAAUUACAUGUGUUCUAUUGCUCUGAAUUUGCUCUCAAUUGAUAAUUGCUAAUAUUGGAAGAUAAAUUACAACAAAUUAAAGAUCGGUGCGGCCCUCUGAAUGAUUGUCUCAACCCAACGUGGCCCCCUUACAAAAAAUAGUGAGUAACACGGCUGUAACACAGCAAAAUGUGGAAUAAAUCAAGAGGUAUGAAUACUU